rnacentral:other from 1 species
GGAGCCCUGCUAUGUGCGUUAACCCCUGAAAGUUUUGAGCCAACACCCAUACAAAGGGAGCCCGGGGUCAUUUGUGGGCGCGGAAGCCUCGUGAGAGAGGACCCGCAAACACAGGUGCAGGGCACCCACCUGCGAGAGAGCAGGUUCAAAACUGAGGGAGCCACGGCAUAACGGGGCUCUU